rnacentral:misc_RNA from 1 species
CCAGCUGAAGAGAGCCUCAUUAUCACAGAUUUAAUAACGCCUUCAAAACCAAGUCUAGACCCACAACGAGAAGAUCCCAAAAAACCCACUCUUACCCACACCAAUUAAACCCCAACCAAACCACUCAACAAUUACUCUCUUCCCUGGUUUCUUCUCACACAAUACCAUACCUUUACCUUUUUCCUCCCCCUUCAAAAACCAAUCCAGAUUGCCAAAUUUUGGUGUCUAACCUUCAAUAAAACGCAUCAGUCAAAUGAUAUUCAAUGUGAAACUUCAUUGGAAAACUAACAACCACACCAAAACCCCUCUUCUUGAAUCUUCAACGAAGCCGGUGUUGCUACAAAACAAGAUCGAUUUCAGCCACAUCCGCUUGCUAUUUUCUUCAGCCACAACCCCCAACUUCACUAAUCACUGACAAAAAGCUCUUAAACCACACAAAUCUUCAACAAAUGGAACCCCACAUCCCAGCCAGCAUUCCCCCACGCGUGCUUCUCCAGAGAACCAACCAAACAGUGAGCUAAUGAUUUCAGCAAUAAGAUGAGAAAGGCUCCAGAACCAAGCACUUGAGAACAGACGCAGUAAGACCCAAAAUCCCGAACUCGCAAAACAGAAGUAGAUCUCACUUGAAAGUACCAAAUAUUA